rfam:Salmo salar isolate Sally breed double haploid chromosome ssa02, whole genome shotgun sequence.
UGCACACAUGACUGAAAGUCGCUUUGGAUGAAAGCGUCUACUAUAUGCCAUAUA